CACGUAGGGCGCAAGCGUUGUCCGGAAUUAUUGGGCGUAAAGAGCUCGUAGGCGGUCUGUUGCGUCCGCUGUGAAAUCUCGGGGCUUAACCCCGAGCCUGCAGUGGAUACGGGCAGACUAGAGGUAGGUAGGGGAGAAUGGAAUUCCCGGUGUAGUGGUGAAAUGCGUAGAGAUCGGGAGGAACACCCGUGGCGAAGGCGGCCACCUGGGCCGACCCUGACGCUGAGGCGCGAAGGCGUGGGGAGCGAACGGG
rnacentral:rRNA from 1 species